rnacentral:rRNA from 1 species
GACGAACGCUGGCGGCGUGCCUAAUACAUGCAAGUAGAACGCUGAAGCUUGGUGCUUGCACCGAGCGGGUGAGUUGCGCACGGGUGAGUAACGCGUAGGUAACCUGCCUGGUAGCGGGGGAUAACUAUUGGAAACGAUAGCUAAUACCGCAUAACAGUAGAUAUCGCAUGAUAGCUACUUGAAAGGUGCAAAUGCACCACUACCAGGUGGACCUGCGUUGUAUUAGCUAGUUGGUGAGGUAACGGCUCACCAAGGCAACGAUACAUAGCCGACCUGAGAGGGUGAUCGGCCACACUGGGACUGAGACACGGCCCAGACUCCUACGGGAGGCAGCAGUAGGGAAUCUUCGGCAAUGGUCGGAAGUCUGACCGAGCAACGCCGCGUGAGUGAAGAAGGUUUUCGGAUCGUAAAGCUCUGUUGUAAGAGAAGAACGAGUGUGAGAGGUGAAAGUUCACACUGUGACGGUAUCGUACCAGAAAGGGACGGCUAACUACGU